rnacentral:rRNA from 1 species
AUCUUCUGGGUGGCUGAUAACCCCACAUAUUCAUGAUCUGGCCUCAAAUCAGGUAGGGCUACCCGCUGAACUUAAGCAUAUCAAUAAGCGGAGGAAAAGAAACUAACUAGGAUUCCCUUAGUAACGGCGAGUGAACCGGGAUGAGCUCAAAUUUAAAAUCUGGCGUCUUUCAGGCGUCCGAGUUGUAAUCUAUAGAGGCGUUUUCCGCGCCGGACCGCGUCCAAGUCUCUUGGAAUAGAGUAUCAAAGAGGGUGACAAUCCCGUACUUGACGCGACAACCGGUGCUCUGUGAUACGUUCUCAAUGAGUCGAGUUGUUUGGGAAUGCAGCUCUAAAUGGGUGGUAAAUUCCAUCUAAGGCUAAAUAUUGGCGAGAGACCGAUAGCGAACAAGUACCGUGAGGGAAAGAUGAAAAGCACUUUGGAAAGAGAGUUAAACAGCACGUGAAAUUGUUAAAAGGGAAACGAUUGAAGUCAGUCGUGUGAAAGGUAUUCAGCCGUCUCUGGCGGUGUAUUUGCCUUUCACGGGUCAACAUCAGUUUGAUCCGGUAGAAAAAGGCAGGAGGAAGGUGGCACCCUCGGGUGUGUUAUAGCCUCUUGUCAUAUGUGCCGGACCAGACUGAGGAACGCAGCUUGCCGCAAGGCCGGGGU